UACGUAGGGUGCAAGCGUUUGUCCGGAAUUAUUGGGCGUAAAGAGCUCGUAGGCGGUCUGUCGCGUCGGCUGUGAAAUCCCGAGGCUCAACCUCGGGUCUGCAGUCGAAUACGGGCAAACUAGAGUAUUGCAGGGGAGACUGGAAUUCCUGGUGUAGCGGUAGGUAAUGCGCAGAUAUCAGGAGGAACACCGAUGGCGAAGGCAGGUCACUGGGCCGCAACUGACGCUGAAGGAGCGGAAAAGCAUGGGGGAGCGAACAGG
rnacentral:rRNA from 1 species